CCAUUAAUUUCUUUUGCAUUGUCUCAUGAAACUUGAUUCCUCUGAAACUGCUUUACACCCACAAGGCCCUAAGUUUGCUCAAACUAUGUGUGCCUGUGUUCCUUUGACAAUCUUUGCUCCAUGAGUGAUGAAUGAUAAUUCAUUUUUCAAUUUGUGAAGUAAAAGAAUAAAAUCAAGAAUUCCUUUGGAUAAUUUUGCUUUUUAAUGGCCAGUGCCAGCAGAUAUGUUGUGACAUCGCCAAAGCGUAACAUGAAGAAACAACAACAACAAAACAUUCAUGUAGAUCUAAUAUUCAAUGAAAACAGACAAAUAAAGAAUACCAGUAUAACGUCCAAAAAUCUACCGAUAUACAGUUAUAUAUAAUAUAUCAACUGCAAAACAGGAAUUCUGUUUCUGAAGCCCCCAAACUUUCAACAGACAAUGGAACAGCUACAUGUAACUGUCACCGGAGGUCAGUCGAUCUUUACACGGCGACCAAUUUCAGAAACUUAGCUUGAACAUACUGAAAAUAAUUCAGUUUUCGUGCCUCAAACAACGGACGCUGUAAAAAUAAAAAGAGUAGGUCAGACUGAAAAAACCCGCUGACGAGCUGAUGGUAUCACUGCUUUGUGAACCCUCGUGUAGAAUUUCCACAAAGUUUUUGCCUUUUAUCUAACUUUUUAGAAUGUCUAUUAUUUUUAAAGGUUUGUCAUCGUGAUCCCCUUAUACGGAUUAAGAUGUGUGUGUGCUCUUUUGUUGUAGUCUCUUGUUUACCGACCCGGCGAAAUUAUCGAAUUCAGACCGUGGUGAAAUAUUGUCAUAAUAGUAUGUUAGAUGAACAUUAAUUUCUAAUAAGGAAACAGUAUAGGGUUUUAUGCACAUUAAUUUCUAAUAAAAAAUCAAGAGGGUUUAAUGCACAUAUUUAUAUGCUGAAAUUUGUAAGUACUUCUAUUGGUUUAUAGAAAAUAUGCAGAGUAAUUUUUUGUUUUGGAUAUUUUUUAACGGGUGAGAGUAGCGGUCGGUUAUGCUAUAAGAUGCUAUAAGACACGCCAAUUUUGUGUCACUCAUGUUUUAUGAAGUUGGGUUUUCGGGUUCAAAAUUGAUGUUAUCACAGACAAAGACAGUUGAAAAUGUAAAUAUAUGAAAAUAAAAAGAUUUUAUUUUG
rnacentral:misc_RNA from 1 species